rnacentral:lncRNA from 9 species
UUUUUCAAUUUGAAGGCUUUGUUCUCAAACCCUCAACACAAUCUACCUUUUUUUUUUAAGAGCUGUGCAGUUUUUUGGAGUUCCCGUUGUGCUCAGUGGUUAGCGAGUCUGACUAGGAACUAUGAGGUUGUGGGUUCGAUCCCUGGUCCCGCUCAGUGGGUUAAGGAUCAGGCGUUGCCAUGAGCUGCAGGUCAAAGAUGUGGCUCGGAUCCCAUGUGGCUGUGGCUCUGGCAUAGGCCAGCAGCUACAGCUCUGAUUAGACCCCUGGCCUGGGAACCUCCAUAUGCCUUGCUAGAAAAGGCAAAAGGACACAAAAAAUAAAAAUAAAAAAAUAAAAAAAAAAACAAGCAUUAAAAAAAAAAAAAUAAGAGCUGUGCAGUUUUAUUUUUUGUUUUCAUUUAUUUAUUUUCUCUUCUUAGGGCCACACCUGCAGCACAUGAAGGGUCCCAGGCUAGGGGUCGAAUCGGAGCAGCAGCUGUGGGCCUACGCCACAGCCGGAGCGACGCAGGAUCCAAGCCACAUCUGUGGCAAUGUCAGAUCCUUAACCCACUGAGCCAGGCCAGGGAUGGAACCCGAAUCCUCAUGGACACUGUGUCAGGUUCUUAACCUGCUGAGCCACAACGGGAUUUCAAGUUUGAACUUGAAAGACCAUCCAGUUACAUUAAAACAAGACCCACAGGGAACAAGGAGACCCGUGCCUCUGUGGGCACAUUUACCCUGAAGAGGAGUAACAGGGAGGGAAGAUGGAACGGAGGAGGCAGAGAGCAAAGGCAGAGCCUUGUCGGAGCUACCAAAGUGCUACCAACACAAAACCUGCUUCACUUGCCCGCCGUCUCCCCAGGCACUACGCCGAGUACAAAGGUUGCCUCAACUCCAAAGCCAAGAGAAGAAAAUGCAAGGAGUCUUACUCAGGCCAAGGAAGUCAGUCCUGGUUUACCAUCCUCUCAACAGAAGAAAACUGGAAGCUAUGAGAAGUCUGUUCACUGACAGAAGCCAGGAUUUGUGGCAGCUGC